UACGGAGGAUCCAAGCGUUAUCCGGAUUUAUUGGGUUUAAAGGGAGCGUAGGCGGCUCAUUAAGUCAGGGGUGAAAACUUGCAGCUCAACUGUAAGCUUGCCUUUGAUACUGAUGAGCUUGAAUGUAGUUGAGGUGGGCGGAAUGUGACAAGUAGCGGUGAAAUGCAUAGAUAUGUCACAGAACACCAAUUGCGAAGGCAGCUCACUAAGCUAUGAUUGACGCUGAGGCUCGAAAGCGUGGGGAUCAAACAGG
rnacentral:rRNA from 1 species